GCUGCCGUAGCUCAGUCGGUAGAGCACGUCCUUGGUAAGGACGGGGUCGCUGGUUCGAUUCCAGUCGGCAGCACCA
rnacentral:tRNA from 2 species